rnacentral:tRNA from 1 species
AGCAGAGUGGCGCAGCGGAAGCGUGCCUGGGCCCAUAACCCAGCGGUCGAUGGAUCGAACCAUCCUCUGCCUA